CCUACGGGAGGCAGCAGUGAGGAAUAUUGGUCAAUGGACGAGAGUCUGAACCAGCCAAGUAGCGUGAAGGAUGACUGCCCUAUGGGUUGUAAACUUCUUUUAUAUGGGAAUAAAACGUUCCACGUGUGGGAUUUUGUAUGUACCAUAUGAAUAAGGAUCGGCUAACUCCGUGCCAGCAGCCGCGGUAAUACGGAGGAUCCGAGCGUUAUCCGGAUUUAUUGGGUUUAAAGGGAGCGUAGGUGGAUUGGUAAGUCAGUUGUGAAAGUUUGCGGCUCAACCGUAAAAUUGCAGUUGAAACUGGCAGUCUUGAGGACAGUAGAGGUGGGCGGAAUUCGUGGUGUAGCGGUGAAAUGCUUAGAUAUCACGAAGAACUCCGAUUGCGAAGGCAGUUCACUGGACUGCAACUGACACUGAGGCUCGAAAGUGUGGGUAUCAAACAGGAUUAGAUACCCGAGUAGUC
rnacentral:rRNA from 1 species